rnacentral:tRNA from 1 species
UCCCUCGUAGCUCAAUCAGUAAGGAAUCUGCCUGCAAUGCAGGAGACCUAGGUUCAAUUCCUGGGUCGGGGAG